CUUGCUAAGACUGAUGGCGACCGGCGCACGGGUGAGUAACACGUAUCCAACCUGCCGUCUACUCUUGGACAGCCUUCUGAAAGGAAGAUUAAUACAAGAUGGCAUCAUGAGUCCACAUGUUCACAUGAUUAAAGAUUCAUCGGUGUACGAUGGGGAUGCGUUCCAUUAGAUAGUAGGCGGGGUAACGGCCCACCUAGUCUUCGAUGGAUAGGGGUUCUGAGAGGAAGGUCCCCACAUUGGAACUGAGACACGGUCCAAACUCC
rnacentral:rRNA from 1 species